rnacentral:rRNA from 1 species
GCAAAGGUAGCAUAGUAAUUAGUCUUUUAAUUGAGGUCUGGAAUGAAUGGUUAGACGAGAAACAAACUUUAUUGAAAUAAAUUUUUUUAAUUUUGAUUUUGAGUUAGAAUACUUAAAUUUUAAAGGGGGACGAUAAGACCCUAUAGAUCUUAAAAAUAUUUACUUUUUAUUUUUUUUUUGUUGUUUUUUAUUUAAAUAUUAUUUAUUUUUUAGUUGGGGUGAUUAUUAAAAUUUUAAACUUUGAUUUAUUUUUACAUUUAAUUUUGGCUUAUUUUUGAUCCUUCUUUUUUGAUUAUAAGAUAAAGAUACCUUAGGGAUAACAGCGUUAUUCACUUGGAGAGUUCUAAUCGAUAAGUGAGUUUGCGACCUCGAUGUUGGAUUAAAUUUUGUUUGAGGGGUAGGUUUUACAGUUUUAGGUCUGUUCGACUUUAAAAUUUUACAUGAUCUGAGUUCAGACCGG